CGUGUAGGCGGCUCUUUAAGUCAGAUGUGAAAUCCUGCGGCUCAACCGCAGAACUGCAUUUGAAACUGGAGGGCUUGAGUGUGGGAGAGGAAAGUGGAAUUCCUGGUGUAGCGGUGAAAUGCGUAGAUAUCAGGAGGAACACCCGUGGCGAAGGCGGCUUUCUGGCCCACUACUGACGCUGAGACGCGAAAGCUAGGGGAGCGAACG
rnacentral:rRNA from 1 species